AUUGAACGCUGGCGGCAGGCCUAACACAUGCAAGUCGAACGGUAACAGGAAGCAGCUUGCUGCUUUGCUGACGAGUGGCGGACGGGUGAGUAAUGUCUGGGAAACUGCCUGAUGGAGGGGGAUAACUACUGGAAACGGUAGCUAAUACCGCAUACGUCGCAAGACCAAAGAGGGGGACCUUCGGGCCUCUUGCCAUCGGAUGUGCCCAGAUGGGAUUAGCUAGUAGGUGGGGUAACGGCUCACCUAGGCGACGAUCCCUAGCUGGUCUGAGAGGAUGACCAGCCACACUGGAACUGAGACACGAUCCAGACUCCUACGGGAGGCAGCCGUGGGGAAUAUUGCACAAUGGGCGCAAGCCUGAUGCAGCCAUGCCGCGUGUAUGAAGAAGGCCUUCGGGUUGUAAAGUACUUUCAGCGGGGAGGAAGGGAGUAAAGUUAAUACCUUUGCUCAUUGACGUUACCCGCAGAAGAAGCACCGGCUAACUCCGUG
rnacentral:rRNA from 1 species